UAAUUACAACUUUCAACAACGGAUCUCUUGGUUCUGGCAUCGAUGAAGAACGCAGCGAAAUGCGAUAAGUAGUGUGAAUUGCAGAAUUCAGUGAAUCAUCGAAUCUUUGAACGCACAUUGCGCCCUUUGGUAUUCCAAAGGGCAUGCCUGUUCGAGCGU
rnacentral:rRNA from 2 species